AUACUUACCUGGCAAGGGAGAUACCCUGAUCAUGAAGGCACUUUCCCCAGGGCAAGACUCAUCCAUUACACUCUGGAUGUGCUGACCUCUGUGAUUUCCUCAAAUGUGAGAGACUUGACUGCAUAAUUUGUGGUAGUGGGGGGCUGCAUUCACAUUCUCCCCUA